rnacentral:tRNA from 1 species
GCAUAGGUAGCUCAAUUGGUAGAGCAAAACACUGAAAAUGUUUGGGUUAUCGGUUCAAGUCCGAUCUUGGGCA